AGAAGAGAGUGAGACCCGAGAGAGAGAGAGAGAGAGCUGAACGGAAGAGAGAGGGAGAUCCAGGGGAGGUGCCGCUGGACCAGAGCCGCCGCUGGGAGGGUCCUUGCCGCUGCCGCCAUAGCCACGUAGUCGUCGUCUGGUCGUCAUCGUCGUCGCGCUCACCAGAACCGAGGCAGAGAGCAGUGCCGAGAGGGAGCCCGUCAACCCUAUCGCCGCCGUUUGUCCUUGCUGCGGCCAGCUGCGCCGUCGCGAGGGAGAGACGCGCGAGAGAAGGGUCGAUUCUAUGACCACCGCCGCGCCGUACUCCACGCCGUCGCCGCCGUUCGCACCGUCAGCCUCGCGUAGAGCAACCAUGGCCGUCGAGGGUCCAUCCACGCCGUUGCUGAAGCUUGAACGCUGUCGCAACCAGCAACCACCGCGUGCCAUCGUCUUCAGAUCUGCUGCCAUUGGUGCGGAGCUCGGUCAUCCUCGCUGUAGGAAUUUGUCGCCGAAGGAGGGGAGGUGAUGGUGGUGGAAGUUACUGUUCUGCCCUGCUCACUGAACGGUGCCAGAAAAUUACGGCUACAGCUGCUAGAGGAUGCCCCUGCAGCUGCCAAAUCCUAUUUCACUCCAAUUUCGGUUCCGGCUCUGGUUUGUCUAUGCCUGGUUUUGUUCUCCUGAAUCUCGAAGCCGCCAUCCUCUUGGUUGUUGCUGAACCAUUAGAGCUUCCGGCCGCUAUCAGAGCGGCUGUCCGGUCAAUUUAGAAACUGCUUCUGUGUCGUUUGAUUCUGUUUAUCGUGGUGAGAUUAUUCGGUUCCGUUCUUGUUUAUUACAAUACUCUAUUAUCAAUUAUGUUCUAAUAUCGCUAUACAUUCCAUGUUAAUUCUAAAUUAUGUCAGAUAUGUGAUUGUUGGGAUUUCUGCAGUUGCUGCCGAUUAACAUGAGAAUAAGGAUUUAAUGGGUUUAAUUAUGCAACUUGCGACUAAUCGAGGAACCGAAUGAAGAAGCAUUAAGAAGAGUUAUACUGCGAUUGGUUUAUAAGAAGUUUGUAUUAAUUAGAUUAUCUUCUUCCCUCGCCUUUGUUAUUACAAGUUUGUAAGAGGGGUAAGAAUUGUAUGGUUUAUAUGUAUAUUAUAUUGAGAGUUAUUAUGUAAGGAGUCUUGUAUAUGAAUCUAUGGUUGUUUGUAUUUUUAUAUUAGAUUAAGUUUUUAUUUUUGGUUUUCAAAGAAAUCAGCGAUACAACGUCGAGUCACAGGCUCCUAUUUUAGUAUUUAGUAUGUAAAGUAGUCAUAAUACUUCUUGCUAUCAGAGUAGCGCAGCCGGAAGCGUGACUUAUGAUAGUGAGGGUGUUACAAAAAACUUAGAACAACUCAUUCUCUAUCAUGAUUUCUAUAAUUCAUCUCUCAAGCAAUAGAUGCAUAAAAAGCAACACAAACAACACAUAUAAUUACACUAAUACACUAAGCUAAUGGGUUUUUCUUCUUCUCCAAAGCAAUAAUCUUCUCCUCCAAAACAGACAUUUUAUGAUCCAAUUCCUCUUCCUCCUCUAUAACUGCAACAUGUUUCUUACCCAAAUGUCUCAUAUUAGAG